GACGAACGCUGGCGGCGUGCUUAACACAUGCAAGUCGAACGGAAAGGCCCCUUUGGGGGUACUCGAGUGGCGCACGGGUGGGUAACACGUGCGUAACUUGCCCUUGACUUCGGGAUAACUUCAGUAAACUGGGGCUAAUACCGGAUAGGAAUCCUUGCUGCAUGGUGGGGGUUGGAAAGCUUCGGCGGUUUUGGAUGGACUCACGGCUUAUCAGCUUGUUGGUGGGGUAGUGGCUUACCAAGGCUUUGACGGGUAGCCGGCCUGAGAGGGCGACCGGCCACAUUGGGACUGAGAUACGGCCCAGACUCCGACGGGAGGCAGCAGUGGGGAAUAUUGCACAAUGGGCGGAAGCCUGAUGCAGCAACGCCGCGUGCGGGAUGACGGGCUUCGGGUUGGAAACCGCUUUCAGCAGGGGCGAAGCUUGUGGUGACGGUACCGGCAGAAGAAGCACCGGCUAACUACGUG
rnacentral:rRNA from 1 species